AGAAUGAACGCUGGCGGCAUGCCUAACACAUGCAAGUCGAACGAAGUCCUUCGGGGCUUAGUGGCGCACGGGUGCGUAACGCGUGGGAAUCUGCCCUUAGGUUCGGAAUAACAGUUGGAAACGACUGCUAAUACCGGAUGAUGACGUAAGUCCAAAGAUUUAUCGCCUAGGGAUGAGCCCGCGUAGGAUUAGCUAGUUGGUGUGGUAAAGGCGCACCAAGGCGACGAUCCUUAGCUGGUCUGAGAGGAUGAUCAGCCACACUGGGACUGAGACACGGCCCAGACUCCUACGGGAGGCAGCAGUGGGGAAUAUUGGACAAUGGGCGAAAGCCUGAUCCAGCAAUGCCGCGUGAGUGAUGAAGGCCUUAGGGUUGUAAAGCUCUUUUACCCGGAUGAUAAUGACAGUACCGGAGAAUAAGCUCCGGCUAACUCCGCGCCAGCAGCCGC
rnacentral:rRNA from 1 species